AGCCCUUCGGGGUGUAAACCACUGUCAGGGGUAAGAAAGUUCUGAUCUACCCCAGAGGAAGGCACGGCUAACUCUGUGCCAGCAGCCGCGGUAAGACAGAGGUGCCGAGCGUUAGGCGGAAUCACUGGGCUUAAAGCGUGUGUAGGCGGACUUGUAAGUACCUUGUGAAAUCCCACAGCUUAACUGUGGAACUGCUUGGUAUACUGCUUGUCUUGGGCCACUUAGGGGUUACCGGAACAAACGGUGGAGCGGUGAAAUGCGUAGAUAUCGUUUGGAACGCCAAUGGUGAAAACAGGUAACUGGGAGUGUGCCGACGCUGAGACACGAAAGCCAGGGGAGCGAACGGGAUUAGAUACCCCGGUAGUCCUGGCUGUAAACGAUGUCGACUAGAUUGUGGCGGCUCUGACGCCGUCACGGUCGAAGCAAAAGUGCUAAGUCGACCGCCUGGGAAGUACGGUCGCAAGGCUAAAACUCAAAGGAAUUGACGGGGGCUCACACAAGCGGUGGAGCAUGUGGUUCAAUUCGAAGCAACGCGCAGAACCUUACCUGGGCUUGACAUGCCAGGAUUAUCCCUGUGAAAGCAGGGUAGGCCCUUCGGGGUACAACUGGUACAGGUGCUGCAUGGCUGUCGUCAGCUCGUGUCGUGAGAUGUCGGGUUAAGUCCCUUAACGAGCGAAACCUUUGCCCUUAGUUACUAACGGGU
rnacentral:rRNA from 1 species